rnacentral:tRNA from 1 species
CCGGGCGGCCUGAUCUAAUGCAAAAUCAUGGCGUUCGGGACGCUGAGGCCGGAGGUUCAAAUCCUCUCGCCCCGACCA